AUUGAACGCUGGCGGCAUGCCUUACACAUGCAAGUCGAACGGCAGCACGGGUGCUUGCACCUGGUGGCGAGUGGCGAACGGGUGAGUAAUACAUCGGAACGUACCUUAUCGUGGGGGAUAACGCAGCGAAAGUUGCGCUAAUACCGCAUACGCCCUGAGGGGGAAAGCGGGGGCCCGUAAGGCCUCGCGCGAUUAGAGCGGCCGAUGUCUGAUUAGCUUGUUGGUGAGGUAAACGCUCACCAAGGCGAUGAUCAGUAGCUGGUCUGAGAGGACGAUCAGCCACACUGGAACUGAGACACGACCCAGACACCAACGGGAGGCAGCAGUGGGAAAUUUUGGACAAGGGGGUAAACCCUGAUCCAGCAAAGCGGGGUGAGUGAAGAAGGCCUUCGGGUUGUAAAGCUCUUUAGUCGGGGAAGAAACAGCAGCUCUAACACAGGCUGAGAAUGACGGUACCUGAAGAAUAAGCACCGGCUAACUACGUG
rnacentral:rRNA from 1 species